rnacentral:rRNA from 1 species
AGCAGCCGCGGUAAUUCCAGCUCCAAUAGCGUAUAUUAAAGUUGUUGCAGUUAAAAAGCUCGUAGUUGAAUUUCGGGACUAAUAUGUCGGUCGUACUUUGUACGUACUAGCAUUAUUGGUUUCUCCCUUCUGACGAACCACGAUGUCAUUAAUUUGGUGUCAUGGGAAAUCAGGACUGUUACUUUGAAAAAUUAGAGUGUUUAAAGCAAGCUCGCGCUUGAAUACAUUAGUAUGGAAUAAUGAAAUAGGACGUUUGAUUCUAUUUUGUUGGUUUCUAGGAUCGACGUAAUGAUUAAUAGGGAUAGUUGGGGGCAUUAGUAUUCAAUUGUCAGAGGUGAAAUUCUUGGAUUUAUUGAAGACUAACUACUGCGAAAGCAUUUGCCAAGGAUGUUUUCAUUAAUCAAGAACGAAAGUUAGGGGAUCGAAGACGAUCAGAUACCGUCGUAGUCUUAACCAUAAACUAUGCCGACUAGGGAUCGGAUGAUGUUAAUUUUUAAUGUACUCAUUCGGCGCCUUACGG